rnacentral:rRNA from 1 species
UAGGGAAUCUUCCACAAUGGACGCAAGUCUGAUGGAGCAACGCCGCGUGAGUGAAGAAGGUUUUCGGAUCGUAAAGCUCUGUUGUUGGUGAAGAAGGAUAGAGGUAGUAACUGGCCUUUAUUUGACGGUAAUCAACCAGAAAGUCACGGCUAACUACGUGCCAGCAGCCGCGGUAAUACGUAGGUGGCAAGCGUUGUCCGGAUUUAUUGGGCGUAAAGCGAGCGCAGGCGGAAGAAUAAGUCUGAUGUGAAAGCCCUCGGCUUAACCGAGGAACUGCAUCGGAAACUGUUUUUCUUGAGUGCAGAAGAGGAGAGUGGAAUUCCAUGUGUUGCGGUGGAAUGCGUAGAUAUAUGGAAGAACACCAGUGGCGAAGGCGACUCUCUGGUCUGCAACUGACGCUGAGGCUCGAAAGCAUGGGUAGCGAACAGG